CAGCCAGGCAGCGGGUUGGCGAAAGCCAUGCAACAGCUCCUCCUGGUGCCUGAGGCCUCACUUGACCUGCUGCAG
ensembl:miRNA Mir6939 microRNA 6939